rnacentral:rRNA from 1 species
CUUGAACGCUGGCGGCAGGCCUAACACAUGCAAGUCGAACGAGUGGCGGACGGGUGAGUAAUGUCUGGGAAACUGCCUGAUGGAGGGGGAUACCUACUGGAAACGGUAGCUAAUACCGCAUACCAUCGGAUGUGCACAGAUGGGAUUAGCUAGUAGGUGGGGUAAAGGCUCACCUAGGCGACGCUCCCUAGCUGGUCUGAGAGGAUGACCAGCCACACUGGAGCUGAGACACGGUCCAGACCCCGACGUGAGGCAGCAGGGGGGAAUAUUGCACAAUGGGCGCAAGCCUGAUGCAGCCAUGCCGCUUGGAUGAAGCAGGCCUUCGUGUUGUAAAGUACUGUCAGCGGGGAGGCGUUACCCGCAGAAGAAGCACCGGCUAACUCCGUGCCAGCCGCCGCGGUAAUUC